GCCGCGUGGCUUCCGUUCCGAGGAGGCGGGGCGACAUCCCAAACGGAAGGUGGUUGUUGUCGGUGCCGGAGCUGGUUUGAAACCAGGGGGUCGGGCCCUGCUGGUCGUCGUUCGUCGCCGCGGCCCCGCUUCCGGGCGAGGCAGUUCCUGCCCGCCCCGCCUCUCUUCAGACCCCUGCGCCCCAGACCCGGCUCUUCGCUGACCGCUGCCGGCCCGCACUGCGGCCCCGCCGCCACCAUGUCCCUGCACGGCAAACGGAAGGAGAUCUACAAGUAUGAAGCGCCCUGGACCGUCUACGCCAUGAACUGGAGCGUACGGCCGGACAAGCGCUUUCGCCUGGCGCUGGGCAGCUUCGUGGAGGAGUACAACAACAAGGUUCAGCUUGUUGGUUUAGAUGAGGAGAGCUCCGAAUUCAUUUGCCGAAACACCUUUGACCACCCAUACCCUACCACAAAGCUCAUGUGGAUCCCGGACACCAAAGGCGUCUAUCCAGAUCUGCUGGCAACAAGCGGUGACUAUCUCCGUGUGUGGAGGGUUGGUGAAACAGAGACCCGGCUGGAAUGUUUGCUAAACAAUAAUAAGAACUCCGAUUUCUGUGCUCCCCUGACCUCCUUUGACUGGAAUGAGGUGGAUCCUUAUCUUUUAGGUACCUCAAGCAUUGAUACAACUUGCACCAUCUGGGGGCUGGAGACAGGGCAGGUGCUGGGACGAGUGAAUCUUGUGUCUGGUCAUGUGAAGACCCAACUGAUCGCCCAUGACAAAGAGGUCUAUGACAUCGCGUUUAGCCGGGCUGGGGGUGGCAGGGACAUGUUUGCGUCUGUGGGUGCUGAUGGCUCUGUGCGGAUGUUUGACCUGCGCCACCUGGAACACAGCACCAUCAUUUAUGAAGACCCACAGCACCACCCACUAUUGCGCCUCUGCUGGAACAAGCAGGACCCUAACUACCUGGCCACUAUGGCCAUGGAUGGAAUGGAGGUGGUGAUUCUGGACGUGCGGGUUCCUUGCACACCUGUUGCCAGGUUAAACAACCACCGAGCAUGUGUCAAUGGCAUUGCUUGGGCCCCACAUUCAUCCUGCCACAUCUGCACUGCAGCGGAUGACCAUCAGGCUCUCAUCUGGGACAUCCAGCAAAUGCCCCGCGCCAUCGAGGACCCAAUCCUGGCCUACACAGCCGAAGGAGAGAUCAACAAUGUGCAGUGGGCGUCGACUCAGCCUGACUGGAUUGCCAUCUGCUACAACAACUGCCUGGAGAUACUACGAGUGUAGUGCUGGUGGUGCCGCACCACGAGGCAGGCCUGUGCUUCCCGCCUCUUCCCCACCCCCAACGACAGUGCACAGGGCUUGUAACACAUUUUAACACUGUGCUGUGAAACCACGAUGGAAAUCUCCAUUGAAAGCUGCUUCAAAGGCACCUGGAAGUGGAGUGUUCUAGUAGCUAUGACUUGACUUCUUGUUUCCCAAGUACAGUGAGACCUAACUCGCACCCUCUCGUUCUGUUUCAGCCUCCUGUAUAAGAAGUACCAUAUUUUCUGCCCAUCAUACUUUGUAAUAAAACUUGAACAUGUAUAGAUUGAA